ACUCAACACUAACAAAUUAAAAUGGGCGAAGCAUUAUCACUAAAGCAUGCCAUCUUUGAAUGGAUCCUUGAACGGUAAGAUAGCUCAAAACUUGUUUUCCUAGAGUUU
rnacentral:sRNA from 1 species